rnacentral:lncRNA from 1 species
GGUGGGUUUCUUUUUUCCCCUUCAAAUUUUAGAUCCCAUUUCUGAUUAUAUUUAAAGCCUUAAGUUCUUAUUCUGAGAAUAUUGUCUGUGCUAACUCAAAUAAUGAUCUUUCUGGACUAGAUAUAUCCAGAUGAAAAGGCACCAACAGAAGCAAAUAAACUCUAAGGAACAAAGGUUGUUUUUUUUUUUUUUUUUUUUUUUUUUUUUCAGGUAUCCUUGCUAUAAUGCAGAACAAAAAAUUAAAAUUUCCUACAUCGUAUGAUGUUCAUGUUAGCGGGUCUAAGAUUAAGCACAUGGUAUUUAUAAGCUAAAAUUAAUUCAAAAGGCAAGAAUGUCUUAAUGUCUUCGUUCUUCAAUUUUGUAUUCUUCAAGAAUGUAUUAAUAUAAAAACUGUGGCUAACCAGUUCUUAUUCUAUAGAACUGUAUUGACACCUGUAGUGGAUCGUGUUACUUCUUCAUUCUCAUCCAAUUUUAGUAGAAUCAAAUUGCUUUUUUAUUUUCAUAUUACUAUCUACUAUAGAUUCUUCAGAUUUAGAAAAUAUGAGUAUGAUAUAUAAAGACCACUAGACUUUUAAAACCCUUUCUGUGAAUUUAUGCAUAUAUGUAGAUAUGUAAAAACAUUGUUGAUUUCCAAUUCUGUUUUUCCAUAGGAAUGAAAUUUUUAUAGACACUGUUCUUUUUAACUUAAAUAUUUUAACAUAAAUUAUUUACAUGGAUUUUUAGUACAAUUCAUUCUUAUGUGUGCCCCGUAAUCAUGUUUUUGUGAGAAGAUUACUUUCUUACUGAUACAGUAAAGAGGAAUAAAAAAAUUAGGAACUGAAAUAAACAAGGGUAAACAGAAGGAGACUGCUGAUCUUGAGAUCAGAACAGUAUAUGUUAAGACAAGAGAAAAAAACUUAAACUGAAGAAGGAAUAUGAACUAUAAAAUAGAAAUCUUUGUAAUUGUAAACUGAUGGGAAAGGCACCCAGGCCUUUCUCCAUUAGUUACUUUUUCCUUUAGGCUUAAAAUCUUUCAUUCUAAUGGGCCAUUUUCUGCACUGUUUACUGAGGUAAAAAAUUCCUCUAAAGUCAAUCAUUGUUUUCCACUUUUUGGACUGUGCAUUUGGCAGAAUGCAGUACCUUUUCUGUGUUUUGAGAUGAACUAGCACAUGGCUUCUACAAGAUAGUUUUUAACUCGUUGGGGUCACUAAGAAUUACAUGAUGGUAUACUUCUUCCUAAAAUUUGUUAUGGUAGAUUUAGUGAGAAAUUAAAUCAAGAAAUCUCAUUGUAGCAUAUUUUAAUAAGUGAAUACCAAAUACAUAAAGUAAGAUAUAUAUAUAUAUAUUAAUAUAUAUGUAUAUCAGUUUGGAAAGAAAUAGUCUGUGGGGACCAUUACGGUAACAGAAUUGCAUUAUAUAUUACACAUUACGUGGAUGUUGGAAUGUAUCACCUGGGGGUCUCCAUUCAUUAGCAAUCAUGUCUGUAUAUAAAACUGUUUUUUUUUUUUUUUAACCAAACUAGCAUUUUAUUUUGUGAGUGACAAUUGACUGAUAUUUUUGAAUAAGUGUUAUCUGGGUUUUGGAAUUGUUCACUGAUCAGUUUGAGAAGGUAUGUUACCAGAAUUUUAGAGUUAACUCCAAUGUGAAAAAGUGUACACAAAAAGUAAUUCUUUUCUAGCUAUAAGAAUGUAAAAUACUUGCAUAUAGUGUAUAUAUUGUGUAACAUAUGUAUAUUUGGUCAUAAAGGCAUAGAAUUGGAAACAUUGUAAAAUUAAGCACUUUAAUUCCUAUUAAAUAUUAAGCAUUUGUAUCUUGUAAAUAAAUACAUC